rnacentral:rRNA from 1 species
UACGUAGGGGGCUAGCGUUGUUCGGAAUUACUGGGCGUAAAGGGCGCGUAGGCGGCCUACUAAGUCGGACGUGAAAUCCCUCGGCUCAACCGGGGAACUGCGUCCGAUACUGGUGGGCUCGAAUCCGGGAGAGGGAUGUGGAAUUCCAGGUGUAGCGGUGAAAUGCGUAGAUAUCUGGAGGAACACCGGUGGCGAAGGCGGCAUCCUGGACCGGUAUUGACGCUGAUGCGCGAAAGCCAGGGGAGCCAAA